CUUACCAGGCCUUGACAUGCAGAGAACUUUCCUAGAGAUGGAUUGGUGCCUUCGGGAACUCUGACACAGGUGCUGCAUGGCUGUCGUCAGCUCGUGUCGUGAGAUGUUGGGUUAAGUCCCGUAACGAGCGCAACCCUUGUCCUUAGUUACCAGCACGUUAAGGUGGGGCACUCUAAGGAAGACUGCCGGUGACAAACCGGAGGAAGGUGGGGAGUGACGUCAAGUCAUCCAUGGCCCUUACGGCCUGGGCUACACACGUGCUACAAUGGUCGGUACAAAGGGUUGCCAAGCCGCGAGGUGGAGCUAAUCCCAUAAAACCGAUCGUAGUCCGGAUCGCAGUCUGCAACUCGACUGCGUGAAGUCGGAAUCGCUAGUAAUCGUGAAUCAGAAUGUCACGGUGAAUACGUUCCCGGGCCUU
rnacentral:rRNA from 1 species